ACAGAGACCAAGGUACAGGACGGCAGGCAGGCUCAGGGUCAGGUCAGGCAGGGGUCGAUCAUCCAGAACAGAGACCAAGGUACAGGACGGCAGGCAGGCUCAGGGUCAGGUCAGGCAGGGGUCGAUCAUCCAGAACAGAGACCAAGGUACAGGACGGCAGGCAGGCUCAGGGUCAGGUCAGGCAGGGGUCGAUCAUCCAGAACAGAGACCAAGGUACAGGACGGCAGGCAGGCUCAGGGUCAGGUCAGGCAGGGGUCGAUCAUCCAGAACAGAGACCAAGGUACAGGACGGCAGGCAGGCUCAGGGUCAGGUCAGGCAGGGGUCGAUCAUCCAGAACAGAGACCAAGGUACAGGACGGCAGGCAGGCUCAGGGUUAGGUCAGGCAGGGGUCGAUCAUCCAGAACAGAGACCAAGGUACAGGACGGCAGGCAGGCUCAGGGUCAGGUCAGGCAGGGGUCGAUCAUCCAGAACAGAGACCAAGGUACAGGACGGCA